GCCUGCCCAGUGACCAAGUGUUCAACGGCCGCGGUAUUCUGACCGCGCGAAGGUAGCGUAAUCAUUUGUCUUCUAAAUAAAGACUAGUAUGAACGGCCCCACGAAGACUUAACUGUCUCCCCUGUCCAAUCAGUGAAACUGAUCUCCUCGUGCAGAAGCGAGGAUGAACCCAUAAGACGAGAAGACCCUAUGGAGCUUUAAACUUAAUAUCAACCUCCCUUUAGUCCCCUCUUAGGAGCCAACAAAAACACUUAACUUGAUAUAAGUUUUAGGUUGGGGCGACCACGGAGAAAAAAAUAACCUCCUUGAUGAUUUUCAAACCUGGAGCCACAGCUCUAAGUAUUAAGACCCUUAACUCCCAUUGACCCAUUUAAUGAUCAACGAACCAAGUUACCCUAGGGAUAACAGCGCAAUCCAUUUCAAGAGUCCCUAUCGACAAAUGGGUUUACGACCUCGAUGUUGGAUCAGGACAUCCCAGUGGUGCAACCGCUACUAAUGGUUCGUUUGUUCAACGAUUAAAGUCCU
rnacentral:rRNA from 1 species